UACGGAGGGUGCAAGCGUUAUCCGGAUUCACUGGGUUUAAAGGGUGCGUAGGUGGGCAGGUAAGUCAGUGGUGAAAUCUCCGGGCUUAACCCGGAAACUGCCAUUGAUACUAUCAGUCUUGAAUACCGUGGAGGUAAGCGGAAUAUGUCAUGUAGCGGUGAAAUGCUUAGAUAUGACAUAGGACACCAAUUGCGAAGGCAGCUUACUACCCGAAUAUUGACACUGAGGCACGAAAGCGUGGGGAUCAAACAGG
rnacentral:rRNA from 1 species